rnacentral:rRNA from 1 species
ACGUAGGGUGCGAGCGUUAAUCGGAAUUACUGGGCGUAAAGCGUGCGCAGGCGGUUGUGUAAGACAGAUGUGAAAUCCCCGGGCUCAACCUGGGAACUGCGUUUGUGACUGCACGGCUAGAGUACGGCAGAGGGGGGUGGAAUUCCUGGUGUAGCAGUGAAAUGCGUAGAUAUCAGGAGGAACAUCGAUGGCGAAGGCAGCCCCCUGGGCCGAUACUGACGCUCAUGCACGAAAGCGUGGGGAGCAAACAGGA